AUUUACUGGAAGAACCAGAUCUCGCGCCCUGCAGGCUUCUGUACACUCUGGCCCUUUGAUCCCUUAACCAGCACCUCUGUCUGCUACUGACUCCGGACUUCCUGUUAAGUUAGUCUCGCCUUCUAAUCUUCCUCCACCCUUUCAGUUGUGUACAGCCUAUGAUAUUCCUGAGCCCUGUCUGAAAACACAACGAACGGCAUUUCGUCGGUUGCCACAGAAGAUGUCCAAGAAUGGAAGCGAAGAUCUUUGCUGACCACAGCACCUGUACCAUGUUCCCGGAGUUUAGAGCUUCUUUUCUGUUUGAACAGCAAGCUCGGUACUUGCAUCGUAUUAUCGCCAUGGAAAAACACAAACAUCCAUUCAGCUUCUUCCCAGGAGGCCAACUGAGAAGCAAGUCCCACAAUUCCUUGCAAAGAUGGCGCUUUCCUCAUCCUGUGGGCGUGGCCGCAGGGUUGAUCCCCCACACACACAGAGGGCAACGUGAGUCUCCUGAAACGUGUCUAAUGGCACUGGUGUGGGCACGUGGAACCCAGGCUUGAUGGAGUUAACGAUCAUCUCAGACCAUUGAGCCGCAAUGAGAGAGAUGCGUUGGCUGUGAGGAGGAGGAGCCGUGGGUCUGAGGAGCAGGGCAAGAGGCUGCAAAAGCUUCUUACAGCCCGCACCUUGGUGACCACUCUCAGUGGGAGACGCAGAGCUGCCUCCAACAAUCGGGCUCAUGUCAGGGAACGAGUGCUGCCUCUUUCGAAGUCCUCCUCCCAUAGCUCCACAUCUGUGUCCCUUUGUGUUGUGUGACUGUGACUGAGACUCCCUGGCCAACACCGAGUCUCAUAGCCACCACCUUCAAGUUUAGGGUUGGAAUCAAUGUAUCCUAAAGCUGCUUCCAGGAAACAGUAGAGAUGCUUUUUUUUUAAAAAAGCCUUCACUUUUUUAUUCUUUGUGCACAAAGACUAGCACAGUCGGUCUCACUGGGUAGACAGUAAACUAAUCCAUUCAGGUCGCUUUAUCCAACUUGAUGAAGCCUACGUCUUUCCCGCGCUGAGGGAAGCACUAACUGCACACGCUCAGCCUGUAUUUACAGAUCAGACCACGGCGGUUAGAGCAGACGAGGCGAGAGCGAGAACCCUGGCCGAGCUUCCGUGGGUGACUCCAGUACUUAAGGACAACCAGGACGCUGUCCUGGUUGUGGGAAUAGGAGCUAGGUAGUCCAAAGAAAACAUCAUCUGCCCACUCCUGUUACUCAAGGUGGACUUUCAGGCCUCAGGACUUUAAAUCGGGAAGAUAAUUUUGAAGAUUUCAGGGAGGAGAGAUCCCUAGAUAACCCCCUCACCAGCAGCCCACUCCACUCGCAGUAGGAGCCAUCUGGUCUGGAUUUAUCUGUUGUAUCCACGCUGC
rnacentral:lncRNA from 1 species